GUGCCCCCGGGUUGUGGUAGCAACCUCUUUUGUCUUCCUUUUUAAUUUAUGAUCAGUCUAAUCAAUAUAUGCAAAUGAAUCUUAUUAUAAACAUGAGAGCCCAACAUAUAACAUUUAAGAAAGCCAUCAAAACAAUUGAAGUUUAAAAGUAAUGAUGACUUUCUUUAAGGUUAUAUGUUGGGCUCUCAUAUUUAUAAUAAGAAUCCGUUUUCCGCCUGGCAAAUCUCUAGCUACGAUAUAUGCAAAUGAAGUUUACGUAAUCGUAUCUAUGAUGUAAUAAUUUAUGCUGAACCUAACACAUGCGCAGUUCACGACGAGCUUCUCUCUCGAUCUAUUCAAUAUGGUGGUCAAUCAAGAAAUGUUUUUGCUUGCAAAAAGAUCGUAAAUUGUUGGCGCUACAAGCUCGGAAAGAUUGUAAAUGAGAUCAGGCUUUUAUCAGCUCACAGAAUAACAAGAAGGAAGCAUCCAAACAAAUUCAUUUGUAACAUGGUGGAUAACAAAGUCCCUCUUGAAAACCUACUUCAG